rnacentral:rRNA from 1 species
UCCUCCCUCUGGCGGCGUGCUUAACACAUGCAAGUCGAACGGAAAGGCCCUGCUUUUGUGGGGUGCUCGAGUGGCGAACGGGUGAGUAACACGUGAGUAACCUGCCCUUGACUUUGGGAUAACUUCAGGAAACUGGGGCUAAUACCGGAUCGGAGCUCCUGCUGCAUGGUGGGGGUUGGAAAGUUUCGGCGGUUGGGGAUGGACUCGCGGCUUAUCAGCUUGUUGGUGGGGUAGUGGCUUACCAAGGCUUUGACGGGUAGCCGGCCUGAGAGGGUGACCGGCCACAUUGGGACUGAGAUACGGCCCAGACUCCUACGGGAGGCAGCAGUGGGGAAUAUUGCACAAUGGGCGGAAGCCUGAUGCAGCAACGCCGCGUGCGGGAUGACGGCCUUCGGGUUGUAAACCGCUUUCGCCUGUGACGAAGCGUGAGUGACGGUAAUGGGUAAAGAAGCACCGGCUAACUACGUG